AAGACUCCUUAGGUGGUAUAUUCUUCAAGACACGAUUCUUUCUGCGUUGUCUUUUCUCCUCAAGAGUGAUCCUGCGUGCUUUCUCAAAGGAAGCAGCAGUGUUAUAGAUGGUGUGUCUGUAGCCUGUGGUAUUAAUCCCUUGAAGGCAGUGGAUGUGGGCACUGAUGUCUGUAAUCAAUCUGACACUGAAUUCAGUGAUAGUGUGUUUUUUACAAUCCAUAUGUAGAUACUCAGUUCCCAAAUUUUAGGUCUUGACCCGUGUUUCUUUUCUAAGUUUCUUUUGAGUUGAGCAAUGGAAAAACACUAGACAGCCUCUCUUUCUUCUAAUAUGCAUCAUGCCUGGCUUGUGCAGCAGCACUAUGCCACAAGUUUGUUCCGCAGGUACUACUUCUGUCUUAAAUUAAGUUGUUUCCAUUGCAAUAUUUCUUAAUGGAAACAUUCUAUCAUGGUUAAGUCAAUAACAAGUUAUUUGACACAGAGCCUAACAUUUGAGCUAAACAUACCAGGAACCCUUUAAACUUACUUUAUCUCACUUGUUUGCAACUCUUCAGUGGGAGAGAUUUCCUUUUAUCUCACUCACCAGUUUGCUCAAGAGCAGGAGAUGUCUUUCCAGCUAGAGAAAACAGUGCAGUUGCUGUUGACUGGGAGGACAGUUGUUCUGUGUGCUCAUACUGAUUUUAUGUGGGACAUCUCAUUGUACUUGGGGGCAGUUUUGUUAUUUUAAAUUAUAAAGGAGUUUAGUUCUCUUAGAGUGUCCAGAUUCAACUCCUUUGUCAAUGUGAUGUACUUCAUUAUUCUCAUCAGCUCAUUUACUUUUCCUGAUGGAGAAAAAAGCUGAACCUCAUUUCACUUUAUAAAAGUCAGGAUUCUUUCUAAUAGAGCUUCUAUUUAGCCAGUGCUGUGAAAGGUGUUCUUUCCGCUGUACAUGUAUGUGCUGAAGAACACAUCUGCUCCUCCUGUAAUUUUUUCAAUAGUACCUUUUUUCUGAGAUUAAAAGGAUCCACCCCCAAGUCCCGGACUGACAGCCAUGCUCCUGAAGGAGAAAUUACCCUUUUAAGAGAUCCCCAAGAGCUAUAGCCAACCACAGCAUACUGUAGAUGUUACACUUUUUGUACAUUGCAUCCUUGCCAAUAUUUGAAUACAAGCCAUAAUUCAGUGGGAGCAUAAAUAACUUCCAUUCAGAGAGACGGAUGCUGUGGUAUCAGGCCAAAUGGUAAGCCUUGUCAGUGCCUGCAUUUUCACUUUAUCGACCACACAGCAUAAUAUGAUGCUCCUUAUUUAAAUCCUUCAUGCAGAUGUCGUACUGGGUUGAUUGACAAGCAACUGGAUGUGAUAAUGUGUAUAAGGCUGUAGCAACCAUUGACUCUUGGGAUAGUGUGGAUGUGCGUGUAGUGAUCAUGGAGUUAUGAUUCUCAGUGGUGGGAUAUGAAAAGUCUGUGGGUCACAAUGUAAAUUUAAGCUGCUGAGGGGUGAACAUUAAUUUGCAUGCCAGUUUAGAUUGAUAUAAUAAUUCUUUAUAGGGACAAAGCAUGAUUGGCUGUAAAAGAGUUGUCCUUGUACCUGAAUUGUUUUAGAGCAGCAGACCUUUAUGCUGAGUUAACAGCACGCUGUUAAGAAUCAGUACCAAUGUAAACACAGAGAAUGAUGGCUUUAUGUUGGCCGUUAUGUAAUGCAGUAUUUCACAGUUGUUGAAAUAAUUUCAUUUUCAACCAGGUGGCUUUGUCAGUCUAUCAGCAAAAACUGAGCAAAGUGCAGCACUGAAAAUGAAAUGAAACUUCCAGCUGUCCAGAUACUUAAGUGACGGCACUUCUAUUGAGCUGGAAUUCUGUAACAGCGCUUACUAAUUCCAGCUAAUAUAAUACAAAGUAAUUUGCUGCUUCACUUUUUUGUCUGAAGUUCAUAGUUACAUUGUUAAGCUUUUACAUGAGCUUAUGCCACUCUAAGUCAGAGGGAGCAAGGAAAGGAGGUAAAUAAGAGGGAACAAGGAAAGGAGGUUAAUAAGGCACAGAGAUAGACUGUGAGAUGAGAAUUAGGAAGGAGAAAUAGAGGACGUCAGAAGAGCAAAAGAUGAAGGAAGAAAAGAAAAGGAAAGGAAGAAAAGGAACAGUGUAUCACAAGAGUGGCAAAAACAGGGGACAUGUUACGAGUGAAAAAUAAAAUAGGGGAAAUGAAUAUAGGAGAUGGAAAGAAAAGUAAGAAACAUCUUUCAUUUUUUGUAGGAAUAUUUUAGACUCAUCGGUAGCAAUUCUUGCUGGAGUUCACUGUGUUUGGCUCAUACCUUAGAAACACACUUCUAUAUGAGUUUCCUUCUUUCUUUUUGGCACCUGGCUUGCUCUUGUAUAGGAGUAGGCCUCUAGAGGUCUGAGGAGAAUUGGUUUCUAAUAAAGCUCCUCCAUACCAGAGUUCAAAAGCUCUUCCACAAUGUAGUGCACAAUGAAAAUUGACACCGCCAAACAGCUUUAGUUUCCCUCUUUUCUUUUUUUCUUUUUUUUUCUUAAUUUUAUGCACUUUUUUUGGCACCUGCAUAUCUGACUUUAAUUUUUCUGCUGAAUAUUGAGCAUAUGGUAUGAAGAAGUAAGUUAUAACCAAAUCUAUAUGUUUUUAUAUAUCAAAAACUACAAUGACAUAGGUUUUCGUAAGUUUUUUUUCCUAAUUCUGUGAGAAUAAGCAGAUGUGAGGCGCUUCCUCUAUUAUGAACAUUUAUAUGGGCUAUGUGGUCAGAGGUGCUUAGCAGUGAAUUUGGCUCAGGGCAAGGGAACAACAGCAGUAAUUUGAGGGGUGAUUUACUCCUGUUAACACUUUUCAGAAUUGGCAAUAAAAUCAGUUCAGUGCUCUUAAGAUGGGAAGGGCAGGAUUUUAAGCAAAAUGUGGAAGAUAUAUUAUACAUGUGAAAAGUGGUUGAGUGAAAAACUGUUUAUUAUUAAUACUUUUAAAAAAUCCAUAUAUAUAUUUCCAACAAAUAAAAGAUAAUGAGAGGGCUGCUCCCUUUUCCUAGAAAUGAUUACAUUUUCUUUGCCCUUCUGGUUUGGCUGCUUUUAGGCUAUUGCUUAUGUAAAACAGAACACCUCCUAAGCCGUCGUUUACUAAACAGGAUCUCUGGCUUCUGAUCUCACGCUACACAAGGAGGCAAAUUGUAUUCUGUGUGAGAAGCUUUAAACGUGAACGUAAUGGAAAGGGGAUAUUCAGCGAAACAAAGACACACCUCCAGAAACAACAAAGACAAGUCGAACACUCAGCUGCUGAGGAUUUGCUGACUCAGAGCUCUACAAAACUUACUUGAUCAAGCACCAUCCUUACACAACACAGGAAAAAACAAGUGAUCAGUUCCACUCAAGACUCACAGAGUUCUCUCAGCAAGAGACACAAGAAAGAAAUCCUCAAGAAUGAAAACUGUUGGAUACAGUUGUAUUACCUGGAGCACAGGGAUGGAGGUCCCCUGGAGCCUGGUGGCAUUCCUUGUGACUGAGGUGAUGACAGAAACUAAUUUCUUGCCAUAGUUGAAUGAGACCUAUCUGACGAAAAUGACAGCACCAAUGUCAGUUUAACUGGCACGUAAAUAAUAGAGAUUAUUUCUAUGUUCCUAAAUAAAUAUAUUUUCUUUCCUCCUGGAGAUAUUC